AGUAACGAUUGGUGGUACAAGUCAUUUCCAAUCUGCUUCAAACAACAAAAACCAAAGCCCCAAAGUGACCUGCUAGUUUGUCCAACUGAUGAUAUUCAAAACCCUAUUGCUUGGCAAAUCAGCCGAAGAACUAUUUGGAAUCACAUGUGAAGAAUUAGUAGUCAACAAAGGUUUCUGUGACCAAAAGGAAAUACCACAACAAAUGCUCCGAGUAAAAGCUCAAAUCAAACUUUUCCAACUCAGACUUGGAAAAGUUAAAAAUGACACAAGCAGAAGUGACUUGCUCAUCCAAACUGUUUUCGAGGAUCAAGCAUAAAUUCAUCCUUCAAACAACAACAAAGGUGAUGAAGCAGUAAGUGACCUUAGGAAGAAACAUAUGGUUCAUGAAAUGCUACUAUCCACACCACCACUUUCAUUCAAGAAAUCUCUACCUUCAGUUCCAUGUGAAAGCAGUUCAAGUUCAAAGAAACGACAAAGGGAGCCAGUCAUAAAGACUCUUCUCACCUUUACACCAACAAAAAAACCUAAGAGUGAUACCACAAGUGGAUACAGUGAAGAGACCUAUGCAUUUGAAGAGACCGAUGACGAGAAUGUAGCAAACCCAUAUCAAACUCUCAAUGAAUAGAGUAUGGA